rnacentral:rRNA from 1 species
GAGCACGUAGGUGGGUUUGUAAGUCAGAUGUGAAAGCCUUCUGUUCAAAGGAAGAGCGGCAUCUGAAACUGCAGAUCUUGAGUGUAGGAGGGGAGAGUGGAACUUCUGGUGGAGCGGUGAAAUUCGUAGAUACCAGAAGGAACGUCGGCGGCGAAAGCGACUCUCUGGCCUAUUACUGACACUGAGUGUGCGAAAGUUGGGGGAGCAAACGGGAUUAGAUACCCCGGUAGUCCUAACUGUAAACGAUGGGCACUAAGUAGAGGGGU